rnacentral:lncRNA from 10 species
GAAAAUGGGAACGUUUGCAGUCAGCCCUAAGCCCCGACCAGAGGCAGUUCCAGCCGCCAGGGUCCCUCACACAACGCUGAAAGCAAAAUACACGUAUUUGACGUGCCUCAGAGCUGACGAAGCACCCAAAAGCAGCCCUCACUAAAGGAGUCGAAAGAAAAAGAGAGAGGGAAGGGCAAAACAAGUAGAAGACAAACAAGUCCAGGGCUCAGGAAACUUUUCAGCCUGUCAAAGUUAGAGAAAGCUCCUUCGCUUUCUACAGGGCAGCAGCAGCCAGGUAAAAGAUGGACCUGAUAAAUCUCUUAAAUUUAAAAAACACAACACAACAAAAAAAAACUACUUCAAACAAGCAUCAACAGCUGAGCGUAAGCCACCACCUUCAUUAUCAAGAAACAACUCAAAUAAAAACUUUUCCAGUGAAAAAUAAACUUCAAGGGCUUUAACACCAGGAGUGAAUACACCACAGAUCCUGACCCUCACGUGAUGGGAAUUGGAGGGCUCUUACAGAUAAGACUCAGAGAGGCAAAGUACACACGCGUUACGUAUUAAGCAUCCUUUCCUCUUUGAUUUCUCUACUUCCCCAAUUUUUAAUCACCUAGAGGUAAAAUACUUAGAAGGUGCCUAUCACAUUUAAGACACUGAAUCAUUUAAGACAAGAAUCACUGCAGAAGUUGCAAAGGUACUUCAAAGAUACUGUCAUCAACCUGCUAAGGACCCAUUGAGAAGUUAUACAAAAGCUUCUAACAUGAGGCCAUAUAUAUGUCUCAAAAAGGACGCAAACACAAUGCUAGGAGAGACAGGGAAGGAAAAACACGGCACCGAAAAGGCACUCCGGAAAUUGGAAAGGGGAGAGCAUUUUGGAAGAAGAGCCUGAAAAUCAUCCUAAUCCUAUUUAACUGCCUGCGAUACUGGAAUGCCUACAUGGAAAUAUGGGUAUGGGGCGGCUAAAAUCCCGUGGUGAUUGAGAGUUGGUGUCUUCAAGUAAGAAGUACAGAUCCCAGAGCCCUUAGUCAAUCAAUAGAAGCCACAAGCCCUCUUAGGAGUAACCCAUAGGUGAGGACUAGAGACUCUCCCCACCCCCCCAACCCUCAAAUGAAUAAGCAGCUCAGCUUGACCCUCUUUGCCAAUCCUUUCCAGGGUAGUUUAUUCUCUGCAUUCUGUCCGUCCUCAAGGCUAAUGCUGCGUAUGCCUUGAGUUUCUCAUAGCAUUCACUGUCAAUGCAAACACUCCAAAUACAGUCAAAACUCUGAAAUUUGACCUCUAAGCAAAACUUUUGGUAUUUGGAAUUUUCAAGUAUUUUGAUAGAUGAUCCCAGAUUAGCGCUCAAUGGAAUCUUGUAUACACAGGGCAGAACGCUAAGGAGUGCUUUUACAGAAGCCAGGAAUGGCUCACUGUCUGCUGCCCUUUCUACUCCUUCACACACAUUCCAGCCUCCUCAUCAGUCUGUUCAGAGGGAGCCAAGGUAGUUCUGCCAACUGGGAAAAUGUUUGAGAUACAAGUGGCAGGCAGAAAAAUGCAGAGCUGAUUUGGAAGGCUGCUUUCGAAAUUACAUGAACCCAAAGAUUGUGGGUUGAUGUCAAAGCCUUCCUGUGGGCUCUGAAGGCCAGCAUUUGAGGAUUUUCACCGAUUGAUUUGUGAUGUGUGUGCCCAACUCUGUGCCAAUUAACUUUCCCAAUCUGCAUGCACCCCAUGUCCCAUGCCCAGUGCAGACAAGCUGGUGACACUAACACUGGCAGCUUUGACCAGGACUCCAUGAAAGAGCUUGGUCCAGAUCAGCUUUCCUAGCUCCAGACCACAGCUCUCAUCUGGAGUCCAGAUCCUGCCGCAAACACUUGUAAGUGGUAAUAGAUUUCCUUUACUUUGUCUCUCAGCCCUCCCUACUGUCUGGUGCAUUCCCAUCUAUGGGCCUCCAGGAGCAUGUGCUCUCCCGUAUGCCAUUCCCUGGGGAUGCAACCAUCAGCUCCAGCCCAUAUGACAGUAACCUGGUCUGUCCUGUCCUGGGACCAUUACUACACCCACGCACUCCAGCCAAACCAGAAUUCUUUCAUUUUCUCAGUUGUUUCACAGAUCUAGAAUUGUGUGAUUCCCUUCUCUUCCACCCAUGAGACUCAGUUAAAACCUAUUGCCUCCAGAAACACUUUCAUGACUAAUACAAAGCUCUUUGGUCUUACCAGUCAUAUUAAUACCUGUAAACCACUGUUAUGUGGCACAUUAAUUAGAUUGGCUUGUUACAUGUUCAUAUGGAAUCUGUUUGUUACUGCAACUACUACAGGCAUAAAGUUUUGACAUCUUGAAUUUAG